AUUGAACGCUGGCGGCAGGCUUAACACAUGCAAGCCGAGCGGAGCGAGGGUGCUUGCACCUUAGCUUAGCGGCGGACGGGUGAGUAAUGCUUAGGAAUCUGCCUAUUAGUGGGGGACAACAUUCCGAAAGGAAUGCUAAUACCGCAUACGCCCUACGGGGGAAAGCAGGGGAUCUUCGGACCUUGCGCUAAUAGAUGAGCCUAGGUCGGAUUAGCUAGUUGGUGAGGUAAUGGCUCACCAAGGCGACGAUCCAUAACUGGUCUGAGAGGAUGAUCAGUCACACUGGAACUGAGACACGGUCCAGACUCCUACGGGAGGCAGCAGUGGGGAAUAUUGGACAAUGGGCGAAAGCCUGAUCCAGCCGUGCCGCGUGUGUGAAGAAGGUCUUCGGAUUGUAAAGCACUUUAAGCGAGGAGGAGGCUACUUUAGAUAAUACCUAGAGAUAGCGGACGUUACUCGCAGAAUAAGCACCGGCUAACUCUGUGCCAGCCGCCGCCGUAAAAC
rnacentral:rRNA from 1 species